rnacentral:rRNA from 1 species
UCUUAUGUACAUACCUACAACAUAACAUUAAUGCACCGGAUCCCAUUAGAACUCUGCAUUCAAGCGCGAUUGGGAUAGAGUAGUACUAGGAUGGGUGAUUGCAUGGGAAAUCCUAGUGUUUUACAUGCC